AGAGUUUGAUCAUGGCUCAGGAUGAACGUUGGCGGCGUGCUUAACACAUGCAAGUCGAACGAAGAAUUUGUAGCAAUACGAAUUCUUAGUGGCGAAUGGGUGAGUAACACGUGGGUGACCUACCCUGGAGUGGGGAAUAACAGUCCGAAAGGAUUGCUAAUACUCCAUACUGUCCCGGAGAUUUGAGGCUCUGGGUCCAAAGCAGCAAUGCGCUUCAGGAGGGGCCCGCGGUCCAUCAGCUAGAUGGUGGGGUAAUGGCCUACCAUGGCGACGACGGAUAGGGGACCUGAGAGGGUGGCCCCCCACACUGGCACUGACACACGGGCCAGACUCCUACGGGAGGCAGCAGUGGGGAAUAUUGGUCAAUGGGCGAAAGCGUGAACCAGCAACGCCGCGUGUGCGAUGAAGGCCUUCGGGUCGUAAAGCACUUUUCGAGAGGAUGAGGAAGGACAGUACUCUCGGAAUAAGUCACGGCUAACUACGUGCCAGCAGCCGCGGUAAAACGUAGGUGGCUAACGUUAUCCGGAUUUACUGGGCGUAAAGCGCGCGCAGGCGGCUUCGCAAGUCGGGCAUGAAAUCUCCUCGCCUAACGGGGAGAGGCUGUUCGAUACUGCGGGGCUUGAGGGCAGUAGAGGGUGGUGGAAUUCCGCAUGUAGUGGUGAAAUGCGUAGAGAUGCGGAGGAACACCAGUGGCGAAGGCGGCCACCUGGACUGCUCCUGACGCUAAAGCGCGAAAGCUAGGGUAGCAAACGGGAUUAGAGACCCCGGUAGUCCUAGCUGUAAACGAU
rnacentral:rRNA from 1 species